GCGUUUGUUGCUUAGUUGGUUAGAGCUCCCACUUGACCUGGGGGGGGAUGAUGGUUUGAGACUAUUCAGAAGUACCA
rnacentral:tRNA from 1 species